UCAUCUUCGUUUAUCUGAUAGUGAAGUGUGUCUUCCAGAAGCGCUCCCGACCUCGUGAACCUGACUGCCAACGCUGCCACAGCAGGACCCUCUGCCUGAGAAGGUUCUGUGUAAAUCUGCC